UGGGGAAUAUUGGACAAUGGGCGAAAGCCUGAUCCAGCCAUGCCGCGUGUGUGAAGAAGGUCUUCGGAUUGUAAAGCACUUUAAGUUGGGAGGAAGGGCAGUAAGCGAAUACCUUGCUGUUUUGACGUUACCGACAGAAUAAGCACCGGCUAACUCUGUGCCAGCAGCCGCGGUAAUACAGAGGGUGCAAGCGUUAAUCGGAAUUACUGGGCGUAAAGCGCGCGUAGGUGGUUCGUUAAGUUGAAUGUGAAAGCCCCGGGCUCAACCUGGGAACUGCCUCCAAAACCGGCGAGCUAGAGUAGGGCAGAGGGUGGUGGAAUUUCCUGUGUAGCGGUGAAAUGCGUAGAUAUAGGAAGGAACACCAGUGGCGAAGGCGACCACCUGGGCUCAUACUGACACUGAGGUGCGAAAGCGUGGGGAGCAAACAGG
rnacentral:rRNA from 1 species